GGCGGCGCUGUCUGGGCAUCGGCGCUGUCUGGGCAUCGGCGCUGUCUGGGCAUCUGAGCUGCGGCUGGAGGUACGGCUGGUCCUCUGCCUGCUGUCCACUGCCACCUUGGCCUGCUCUUGCCGCCCUGGCGCCGCGAACUCUGUGCCGCCUCUCCCUUCACCCUGUCUUGGGACGGCCGGCGCUAAGAAUUCAUGCUAUGACCUUCGAUGCAGCCAGGAGGUGACACCAAACUCGAUCAGAAACCAUGCCACUGAUGAAGAGGUAUAUUGAGCCCUGCCUGGCCCAGUGAGGUUACUAGAGAAUUGGAAGAGACUCAAAUCAGCAUCCUGCACAUGGUUAUCAAACCAUUGUGAAGUCUUAAUUCCUGGGCAGCCUGAAACCUUGUCAUUGGUCAAGAGCAACACUAAGACCUACCUGUCACUUACCCUGAGGCUUCCUGCCCAGUGGGUUCACCAGCAAGCCAGAAUGAAGUAUCAUUGCCCUGGAUGUCCUUGUGAAGCCGUUAGGAAGUCUUGGCUGAAUUUUGAAGGAUAUCUUUGAAAAGUGUUUUAGAGAGUCUACCAGAUUUUCCAUGUGAGUGUACGUGCAGCAGAAGAGGGGGUCUUCUCAGUGAUUAAGGAGCCCUUUAGAAAGAACAUGUCAAGUUCUCACCACAAAUAGCAUUGGAGUUACAGUUGGAAUGGCAUUGAAUUAUAGAAUAAUUUUUGGAGAGCUGUCAUCUUUAUAAUUUUCUCAUACAUGAAUGUGGAGGAGCUGGUAGAAGACUUCAUGAAGGAGAAGAAAAGGAAAAAAUCAGAGGAUGACUACAGCCUCUCUUCAUCCCAGCUUUGCAAAGCAUGACUCAAUAGAUAGAUCACUCUUCUGAAGACUCUCCAGACCACAGGUAUUCAUUCAUCUGCAAUGAGUCCAGUACCUGAAGGAGCAAGACAACAACAAGCAUCCAGGGGGACAACAGUGUGGCCUUCUGAGUGAAGAUAGCAACUGAAAAGAUCAUGGGAUUGGCUGCAUUAGGCUGGGCUUGUUUCUUUUUUGAAAAUAAAAAAUGUUUUCUUUUUGAUGACAAAAGUAACAAGUGGUCAUUGUUAAAAAAUAAAGUGAAAGGUAUAAAUUAAAAAGUAAAUAAUACCUAUAAUCUUAUAACCCAGAAAAUAAUUCAUAACAUUUCCAUGUAUUUCCUUUUACUCUUUAAAAAAAGUGUAUAUAACACAGUUUAAAAAUAAAAUUGACAUUGUAUAUGUUAUUCUUUAACUUUUCUCAUUUGAGAAUAAACAAGCAUUCUCCUAUAUCAUUAGCAUUAUUUAAAAAUACAGUAUUAAGUGUCACAUAAUAUUUCAUAUGGUUCUAACAAAGUUCAUUUACAGUAAGCCCCCUUACAUAUGAACCUUCAAGUUGCAAACUUUCAAAGAUGCGAACGUGUGUUCACAUGUCCAGUCAUGUAAGUUAGUUCAUGAGUCUGGUGUACAUUGUCACGUGCAUGCAUCCUCUACAAGUGGUUGUGCUUUUGUGUACUUUACUGUACCGUACUGUAUAGAGCAUAGUAGUACAGUAUCUUUAUUUCAGGCCCAGAAUGUGAGUGAAACAGAAGCUUACCCAGCCGCAAAGCACAGGGAGAUCAGCUCAGUGCUUUGUGACCACCUAGAGGGGUGGGAUAGGUAGGAUGGAAGGGAGAAGCAAGAGGGAGGAGAUAUGGGGAUAUAUGUAUAUGUAUAGCUGAUUCACUUUGUUAUAAAGCAGAAACUAACACACCAUUGUAAAGCAAUUAUACUCCAAUAAAGAUGUUAAAUAAAAAAAGUAUUUUUAAAUUAAGGUAAAAAAAAAUUGAAGCUUACCUAUUGCUGAUGAUCCUUCAGCUCUACCGUCUCCCACCUCCUCUACCUCCAGUCAGUAACUCUUCUUGCCUGUUCACUUGAUGCCAGCCCCUGUAUGCCAGCUGUUGUACUGUACUACUGUACUUUUCAGGGUACUGUACUUUAAGAUUAAAAAUGUUUUAUUUCUCGUGUUUGUUUUUUAUGUAUUAUUUGUGUGAAAAAUAUUAUAAACCUAUUACAGUACAGUACUAUAUAGCCGAUUGUGUUAGUUGGGUACCUAGGCUAACUUUGUUGGACUUACGAACAAAUUGGACUUAUGAACAUGCUCUUGGAAUGGAACUUGUUUGUAUAUAGGGGGCUUACUGUGGAUGAUCCCAUGAUGCAGACAUUUUGGAUAUUAUCAAUUUUGCCUAUAAAAUUAACAUAUAAUGAACAUAAUUGUAUAUUAACCUUUAUGUGCAUCUCUAUUUCUUUAGAAUAAAUUUCUAGAAUUGGAAUUACUGAGUUUGAUGAGAGCGUUAUUAGGGCACCUGAAAGGUGUUGUUGAAUUGUCCUCAAUAUAGUUGUACAAAUAACAUUCCCAUCAGGGGUGCAUAAAUGUGCAUCAAAAUAUGCCCUUUCCUUUUAUAAAUCUCUCAUCAUUUGACAGGCAAAAAUAUCCAUUUGUUUGAGAUUUUUAUUUCUAAUUUGCAUACACUAAAAUUCACUCUUAUCAUGUAUAGUUCUAUAGUUUUGACAAGUAUAGAGUCAUGUAUCCUUCUACUCCAGUACCAUACAGAAUGGUUUUAGCAUAAUAAUUUCUCUUGAUUGCUCUUUUUGUUGUAAACCCCUUUCCCUCAAUCCCUGGAAACCACCUAUUUGUUCUCCAUCCCUAUAGUUUUGCCUUUUCCAGAAGGUCAUAUGAAUGGAGUCGUGCAAUAUGUAGACCUUUUGAUCUGGCUUCUUUCACUUAGUAAAACGCAUUUAAGUAUCAUCUAUAUUGUUAUGUAAAUCAAUAUUCAUUAUUUUUAUUGUUGUACUUCACUGUAUGGAUGUACCAGCUUUUAAUCCAUUCACUAAUUGAUGGACAUGAGAUAUAUUUCCAGUUUAGGCCAUUAUGAAUAAAGUUGCUAUAAACUCUCAGAUACCAGUUUUGUGUAAAUAUAAA